CCUACGGGGGGCAGCAGUGAGGAAUAUUGGUCAAUGGGCGUGAGCCUGAACCAGCCAAGUAGCGUGAAGGAUGACUGCCCUACGGGUUGUAAACUUCUUUUAUAAAGGAAUAAAGUGAGGCACGUGUGCCUUUUUGUAUGUACUUUAUGAAUAAGGAUCGGCUAACUCCGUGCCAGCAGCCGCGGUCAUACGUAGGAUCCGAGCAUUAUCCGGAGUGACUGGGUGUAAAGAGUUGCGUAGGUGGCAUAGUAAGUAGCUGGUGAAAUCUGGCGGCUCAACCAUUCGGACUAUUAGCUAAACUGUUAAGCUCGAGACCGUUAGGGGUAACUGGAAUGUGUGGUGUAGGGGUGAAAUCCGUAGAGAUUAGACAGAACACCGAUAGCGUAGGCAGGUUACUGGGACGGUUCUGACACUAAGGCACGAAAGCGUAGGGAGCAAACGGGAUUAGAUACCCUUGUAGUC
rnacentral:rRNA from 1 species